AAAGGGUGCGUAGGCUGACCGGUAAGUAUCUCGUGAAAUACCUCGGCUCAACCGAGGAACUGCGGGGUAAACUGCCGGUCUUGAGGGAGGUAGGGGUUGCUGGAACGCUCGGUGGAGCGGUGAAAUGCGUAGAGAUCGAGCGGAACGCCGAAGGUGAAGACAAGCAACUGGGCCUCUCCUGACGCUGAGGCACGAAAGCGUGGGGAGCAAACAGGAUUAGAUACCCUGGUAGUCCACGCCGUAAACGAUGCGCACUAGACCGAUGCAGGUCUGACCCUGUGUUGGUCGGAGAGAAAUUGUUAAGUGCGCCGCCUGGGAAGUACGGUCGCAAGGCUAAAACUCAAAGGAAUUGACGGGGGCUCACACAAGCGGUGGAGCAUGUUGCUUAAUUCGAAGCAACGCGAAGAACCUUACCUGGGUUUGACAUGCAUGGAUUAGUUCCUGGAAACAGGAAUGACACUCGCAAGAGUGGAACAUGCACAGGUGCUGCAUGGCUGUCGUCAGCUCGUGCUGUGAAGUGUCGGGUUAAGUCCCUUAACGAGCGCAACCCCUGUCGUUAGUUGCUAACGGGUAAUGCCGAGGACUCUAACGAGACUGCCGGUGUCAAACCGGAGGAAGGUGGGGAUGACGUCAAGUCCUCAUGGCCCUUACAUCCAGGGUUGCAAACGUGCUACAAUGGCGUGAACAAAGCGACGCAAGGCCGCGAGGCGGAGCAAAUCGCAAAAAUCACGCCCCAGUUCAGAUUGGAGUCUGCAACCCGACUCCAUGAAGCCGGAAUCGCUAGUAAUCGCGGAUCAGC
rnacentral:rRNA from 1 species